rnacentral:sRNA from 1 species
UAACGUUGUUCUGUGUCCGAUAGCGUAC